AAUGUCCUACGGGGCGCAGCAGUGAGGAAUAUUGGUCAAUGGCCGAGAGGCUGAACCAGCCAAGUCGCGUGAGGGAAGACGGCCCUACGGGUUGUAAACCUCUUUUGUCGGGGAGCAAAGCGAACCACGUGUGGUUCAUUGAGAGUACCCGAAGAAAAAGCAUCGGCUAACUCCGUGCCAGCAGCCGCGGUAAUACGGAGGAUGCGAGCGUUAUCCGGAUUUAUUGGGUUUAAAGUGUGCGCAGGCGGAGGUGCAAGUCAGCGGUCAAAUUGCUGGGCUCAACCCCGUACUGCCGUCGCAACUGC
rnacentral:rRNA from 1 species